GGGCCUGCAGUCUGAUGGCGGGACGCGACGUUUACACCGUCGAGGUAGUCGGUUCGAUUCCGGCCAGGCCCA
rnacentral:tRNA from 1 species